ensembl:lncRNA
GUCACUGCAGAUAAUAAGAAGAGGGCGUGGGCGAAAGUUGCCCAAUCAGUGUCCGCAGUAGGGGAGACGGAGCGCGAUGCGAUUGCAAUAAAAAAAAGAUGGGAAGACGUAAAAUCCCUCGUAAAGAAAAAAGCUGCUGAGAGGGCGAGGGAGACGAGUAAGACAGGAGGAGGGACGUCCUCUGUUAAACUCGACGCUUUGGAGGAGAAGAUUUUGGGUAUGAUAGGGGAAUCGCUGGUAGGAGGAGUUCAAGGAGGGGUGGACACUGGAGACCACAGCUGUAUGCAGCUGCUACAGCAGACACAAACGGAUGCUAUGGUGGACCUUGAUUUUCUUCCCACCCAAGCAGGAGUUGCAACAAUCCAAGUUAUUGUACCCGCUGAAUACAUUGUCCCCCCCCACAUUGAACUUGAAGUUCAACAAAAUUUUCACUUUGACGAAUAAACUGAGGAGAGCCGGAGAGGGUGGGCACUGGGCACAGUCGAGGAAGGAGAGGACAGGUGGAGACAUGCUGGUUCCUGUCGAAUAUAAGGGGGUGAGCAAAUGGGUCAGGGUACCAAAGGUGGAGGAGGUCUUCAGUUUCUCUGAAUUUUUACAAGGAGUGCUGGCAAAAUUCAAUUUGUCAGGUUUUACUGCUUUGAUGCUCAAGGAUUCUGCAGGAGUUGAAGUGGAUUCUGACAUCUUUGAUGAGCUUUUGAAGUCAUCUCAGGUGUCUUUCAAGGCCUUCACUGAAGAUUGCAAUGACAACAGUGUUGGAGAGUCUUCAGAGGGCUCAUCCUUAUCUGAUUGGUCACCAUCACGUGCAUCCCAUGGGGCAUCAACAAUUACAGCUCAAAGAAAACGGCUGAUUGAAGGACCCCCUGACAGCAGCAGUGCUCGCGAUAUUGUCAAUGCAGCCCUGCAUUCAAAGCCGGACGGUGACCAAAUAAUCACAGAAUACGAGAAAACAAAG